rnacentral:rRNA from 1 species
AUUGAACGCUGGCGGCAUGCCUUACACACGCAAGUCGAACGGCAGCGGGGGAGAAGCUUGCUUUUCCUGCCGGCGAGUGGCGAACGGGUGAGUAAUACAUCGGAACGUGCCCUGUAGCGGGGGAUAACUAGUCGAAAGAUUAGCUAAUACCGCAUACGACCUGAGGGUGAAAGUGGGGGACCGCAAGGCCUCAUGCUAUAGGAGCGGCCGAUGUCUGAUUAGCUAGUUGGUGGGGUAAAGGCCUACCAAGGCGACGAACAGUAGCUGGUCUGAGAGGACGAUCAGCCAGACGGGGACUAAGACACGGCCCAGACUCCUACGGGAGGCAGCAGUGGGGAAUUUUGACAAUGGGCGAAAGCCUGAUCCAGCAAUGCCGCGUGUGUGAAGAAGGCCUUCGGGUUGUAAAGCACUUUUGUCCGGAAGGAAAUGGCUCUGGUUAAUACCUGGGGUCGAUGACGGUACCGGAAGAAUAAGGACCGGCUAACUACGCGCCAGCCGCCGCGGUAA